rnacentral:lncRNA from 1 species
ACAACCUUUACAUUCAGCAGAACAUCUCUCCCCCUUUUUCUUUUGACAAUCAAUCUCUCUCUCUCUCUCUCUCUCUCUCCAUAUUCUCCAAUAAUGGCUUCCUCUCUUCAUCCCGUUCUUCUUGUCUCAGUCUCGUGGAUCUCCCUCCUGGCUCUGCUAAUCUCACCCGCGCAAGCAGCCACCUGCACCUCACAGACAUUCAAGAACAACAAGCUCUACGCCCACUGCAGCGACCUCCCCUUCCUCAGCUCCUACCUCCACUGGACCUACAAUGCCUCCAACUCCUCUCUCUCCGUCGCCUUCGUGGCGAAGCCGGCCAAAUCUGACGGCUGGGUCGCGUGGGCCAUCAACCCCACCGCGACCAAGAUGGCUGGGGCCCAGACCCUCUUAGCCUACAAGACCGAGAACGGGGCACCAGCCGUCAACACAUUGAACAUCUCCUCGUACAGCUCCAUCGUGCCGGGAAAACUCUCGUUCGACGUCUGGGACGUCAGCGCGGAGUUUUCCAACGACACCUUCACGAUCUUCGCCACCGUCAAGGUCCCGAAGGACGCGGCAUCCGUGAACCAGGUCUGGCAGGUGGGCUCCGCCGUCAACAAGACCUCCGGUUUCCCCGAGAAGCAUGACGUCGCCCCACCCAAUCUCAAGUCGUUUGACACCUUGCCCUUGGGGGCCAAUUCCACUACGGGCACUCCCGCUGGUACUAAUACCACUACCAAUAGCACUGGUGGUGGUGGUAGCGGAGCCUUGAGGAUUGGGAGUGGAGGAAACAUGGUAUUGUUCUCUGUUUCGCUUUUGGUUCUUGGAGCUCUCAUUGCUCUCUAAAUUUAGUUUUUUUUUUUUUAUUUAUAAAUUUUUUUUCUUAUUGAUGAGUCCAAGUGGGAGAUGGAGAUUUCAACACUUUUAGGUGGAAAUAUUUAUUAUAUAUUCCAUGAUAUUUAUGAUUUCCCCAUUGAUUUAAAUUAUCUCUCCUCCUCAUCUGCAUCUUGAAUCGAUGAGAGAAAAGAGAUGGCUCUAGUUGGUCAUUAAUUAAUAGGGUGGAUCUUGAUGAGAGGAAAUGCUUGUACCAUUUAAUUUAGUUUAA